AGGCUUUGAUCCUGGCUCAGGAUGAACGCUGGCGGCGUGCUUAACACAUGCAAGUCGAACGAACCUUCGGGUUAGUGGCGGACGGGUGAGUAACGCGUGAGAAUCUGCCCUCAGGAGGGGGAUAACGGCUGGAAACGGCCGCUAAUACCCCAUAUGCCGAGAGGUGAAACGAAUUUCGCCUGAGGAUGAGCUCGCGUCUGAUUAGCUAGUUGGUGGGGUAAAGGCCUACCAAGGCGACGAUCAGUAGCUGGUCUGAGAGGAUGAUCAGCCACACUGGGACUGAGACACGGCCCAGACUCCUACGGGAGGCAGCAGUGGGGAAUUUUCCGCAAUGGGCGAAAGCCUGACGGAGCAACGCCGCGUGAGGGAUGAAGGCCUCUGGGCUGUAAACCUCUUUUCUCAAGGAAGAAGAUCUGACGGUACUUGAGGAAUAAGCCACGGGGUAUAUCCGUAGC
rnacentral:rRNA from 1 species